rnacentral:rRNA from 1 species
GACGAACGCUGGCGGCGUGCCUAAUACAUGCAAGUCGAACGCUUUGAUUUUCACCGGAGCUUGCUCCACCGAAAAUCAAAGAGUGGCGGACGGGUGAGUAACACGUGGGCAACCUGCCCAACAGAGGGGGAUAACACUUGGAAACAGGUGCUAAUACCGCAUAAUUUGUCUUUCCGCAUGGAAGAAUAAUAAAAGACGCUUCGGUGUCACUGUUGGAUGGGCCCGCGCUGCAUUAGUUAGUUGGUGGGGUAACGGCCUACCAAGACCAUGAUGCAUAGCCGACCUGAGAGGGUGAUCGGCCACACUGGGACUGAGACACGGCCCAGACUCCUACGGGAGGCAGCAGUAGGGAAUCUUCGGCAAUGGACGAAAGUCUGACCGAGCAACGCCGCGUGAGUGAAGAAGGUUUUCGGAUCGUAAAACUCUGUUGUUAGAGAAGAACAAGUGAGAGAGUUACUGUUCUCACCUUGACGGUAUCUAACCAGAAAGCCACGGCUAACUACGUGCCAGCAGCCGCGGUAAUACGUAGGUGGCAAGCGUUGUCCGGAUUUAUUGGGCGUAAAGCGAGCGCAGGCGGUUUCUUAAGUCUGAUGUGAAAGCCCUCGGCUCAACCGAGGAAGGUCAUUGGAAACUGGGGAACUUGAGUGCAGAAGAGGAGAGUGGAAUUCCAUGUGUAGCGGUGAAAUGCGUAGAUAUAUGGAGGAACACCAGUGGCGAAGGCGACUCUCUGAUCUGUAACUGACGCUGAGGCUCGAAAGCGUGGGGAGCAAACAGG